rnacentral:rRNA from 1 species
UUUCGCAAUGCCCGAAAGGGUGACGAAGCGACGCCGCGUGUGGGAAGAAGGCCUUCGGGUUGUAACCACUGUCGGGAGUUAAGAAAGGUGUACGGGUAAAUAGUCCGUGCAUUUGACAAAAGCUCCGGAGGAAGCCACGGCUAACUCUGUGCCAGCAGCCGCGGUAAUACAGAGGUGGCAAGCGUUGCUCGGAAUUAUUGGGCGUAAAGAGCACGUAGGCGGCCCUGCAAGUCAGCUGUGAAAGCCUCCUGCUUAACGGGAGAAGUGCAGUUGAAACUACGGGGCUAGAGUGCGGAAGGGGAGAGUGGAACUUCUGGUGGAGCGGUGAAAUGCGUAGAUAUCAGAAGGAACACCGGCGGCGAAAGCGGCUCUCUGGUCCGUAACUGACGCCGAGGUGCGAAAGCCAGGGGAGCAAACGGGAUUAGAUACCCCGGUAGUCCUGGCCGUAAACGAUGGGCACUAAGUAGAGGGGUUUU